rnacentral:misc_RNA from 1 species
GUAUAAGUUUCAGGUCUGCCAUGAGAAUCAAUUGAAGAGCUAUACAGCUGGGGCUUUGAGCACCAGUUCUGAUUAUAGAAUUUUUAGUAGCUGUAAAGGGAGGAGUAAUGAGUAUGGAAUUGGAGUGUGGGAUCAAAUUAGUGGCAAACAGAUUGAUUUCUUUUAUGAGAGUCCAGGUUGGUCACUAGGUGAUGCUGAUAAAUUGCAGUGGUUGAACGGGAGCAAUUGUUUGUUGGUGGCUACUUUGUUUCCUAGAAAGGACAACUGUUACAUUAGUUUGGUGGAUUUUAGAGAGAAGAGGAUGGUGUGGUUUUGGUCUGAUAUUGGUGCUUCUAUGACUGUGGAUGAGAAAAGGGUUCGUGAUGCUAUUGCUAUGGAGGAUUGUAAUGCUAUUUGUGUGGUGAAUGAGUAUGAGGAGUUAGGGUUUAUGGAUUUGAGAAUGAGUGGAGGAAGCGUGAGAUGGAGUUCGAGGAGUCGAUUGAUGAAGGGAAAGAUGCCUGAUGAGCCUUGUUAUCCAAAACUGGCAUUACAUGAAGGGCAGUUGUUUUCAUCAAUGGAUGAUAGCAUUUCUGUGUUUUGUGGUCCUGACUGGGUUUUGACAUCUAGGCUUAGACAGAGUUAUGGAGGUUCAAUUUGUGAUUUUUCAAUCGGUGGGGAUAGACUCUUUGCACUUCACAGUGAGGAAAAUGUCUUUGAUAUAUGGGAGACUCCACCUCCACCAAUUUUAUGAUUCAGAUUACAAGGUGUGCUGGGUUUUUCAGUUAAUGUUUCUUACAUUCUGAUGUAAAUAGGUAUUUGAAAAGAUUUGCGUGUACAUAUUUUGCCUUUUAACUACUAUAUAAUUUAGAGCAAUGAAUCUGCUUG